GACGAACGCUGGCGGCGUGCCUAAUACAUGCAAGUCGAACGCAGGGGGGACGGGUGAGUAAAACGUGGGUAACCUCCCAUCAGAGGGGAUAACCCUUGGAAACAGGUGCUAAACCGAUACUGAUGGAUGGACCCGCGGGGCAUUAGCUAGUUGGUGGGGUAACGGCUCACCAAGGCCACGAUGCAUAGCCGGCCUGAGAGGUGGAUCGGCCACACUGGAACUGAGACACGGCCCAGACUCCUACGGGAGGCAGCAGUGGGGAAUCUUCGGCAAUGGGCGAAAGUCUGACCUAGCAACGCCGCGUGAGUGAAGAAGGUUUUCGGAUCGUAAAGCUCUGUUGUUAGAGAAGCGGUAUCUAACCAGAAAGCAACGGCUAACUACGUGCCAGCCGCCGCGGUAAUUC
rnacentral:rRNA from 1 species